GGUGGGCUUAGCUCAGUUGGUAGAGCGUCUGCUUUGCAUGCAGAAGGUCACGGGUUCGAUUCCCGUAGCCUCCA